AAGCCAUCAAAAUUUAUAGAUAAGAUCUCUUUCUUUAUUAAGAAUAUAAUAGAUAUUUCACGUAAAGAAGAUGCUUAAUCAAAUAUAAUUUACUCUAUAAUGUACGAUUUUUUUAUAGCCAAUCAAAUAUUUGGGUCACGAGUUACCACUGCGUUCACAGGUAGCGAUGAGGUACACCCUUCCAAAAUGCUCAGAGAGUUUGGAUGGCAUAAAAGGUGCUCAGAGAGUUUGGAUGGCAUGAAAGGUGCAGCCCGGAUAGCUUUGCCCAUUCCGGGAGCAGUGGCAACUGCCGCUGUGACAUUCCAUGCCGUUAGCUUCGCCGAGCUGCGUGAGAAAUCUUUUAAGGAUUCAGGGGACUCGGAGCCUCGGAGGAAACAACAAAUGUUGGCGGCUAAAUAAUAUGGAUUACUUGAGCUUUGAGCUCCAAUCCAUUUUUACGGCGGGGCGUUUGAAAUUCUGUUGGCCAUAUCAUCUCUAUCUCUGGCCACUCUUCUUUUUUUUUUGUCAUGAGUUUUAUUUUUAUUUGGCUUGAUACGAUAAAAUAUUCAUGGUGUAUUCUCCCUCUCUCUCAAAGAAAAAGCAUGGUGUAAGUAUUUGCAGCGUAAUUUUUCUUUUAGUAAAUGAAUUGAGUUCGAAACUUGUACUGCAUAAUAUGAUCUCUUUUCCACUGAAGUCACUGUGGUUAUCAUGUUUGGUUCUUGA